rnacentral:misc_RNA from 1 species
GAGAGAGAGAGAGAGAGGAGAAGACGUCUCCAGGUGAGCAGAUAAAGAGGAGAAAUUGGGCUUUUAAGGCUAGGACUGGGGUGGUGUAAAAAGGACAAGAGAGAGUUCAAAUGACGCGUUAAUGUCACGCGUUUUGCUGUGUUUUCACAGGAGAUUUGGACAUGGACUUGAUGGAGGCGCGCAAAGAAGAAGUGUAGCAGGGAAAAGUUGACUGGAAGGGAAAUAAAAAUCGGCGAGUUGGAAAAUAAAAAACUCGGCGAUGAAGGCAACUCGCAGGAAGAAGAUUAAUAAAGAGGCGGUAGCGUGUUUGCCUUGUCUUGUC